UAAUUCUGUUGUCUUUGUCUUUAGUAGGAAUUACAGCCAGGGAUGUCUUGAUAAGAAAGUAAAAGGCAGAAAUUCAGUAAAGGAUCAAAGCAAGCAGCUUACCAAGGAAGGAAUCAGGCAAAUCCUAGCCCCUUCCCCCAAGGGGUCGGAGGAGCAAUUGCGUUUUGGCCUCAAAGAGAAAUCCUGUUGACUGGAACAAGGGCUGCUGCAGCCAGGGCUGGAACAAAACUUUUUAAGCCUAGAGCUGAGAAAACACCAGGUGGUAACAGGAGCUGCAAAUUGCUAAGUAACUCUGGCAAAGUUCCUCUGCACCCUCAUUUCCAGAAAAAAGCCCUGAGGCUGUUUUCUCUAUCUGUGGAGCGGCCUCCUUCCUUUAGCGAGUUCAGGUAUUCCCCCUGCCUUGAAAGCGCGCAUCUCCCCUCGCUUUCCCGCACCCCUCUUCUCCUUCCUCUCCUCAGGGUCCUGAGUUCACUUUGCACCCUUUCUGCAGGAUUUGCAGACGUAAGGAGGAGAGCAGCGAGAGCUGAUUUCGCCCCCACCUUUCUCUGCUUCUGCUAUCCAGCGUGCCGUGCACAGCCGUCAUCCAGGAGGCCACCGUUGGUCCUCAGCCUGUGCACGCAGCUGCUCCUGCGUUGCCGUAUGAACGGUCGAGGCUUCGCUGACAGAGAGCCUGGGGCUGCCUGCUUUCAGCCGCUAGAAGAUCAGAUGCCAUUUCAAGCAGGUCUGAGAAGGGACUGAAGAAGGUAAGGACUUCAGUCUCAAGUCAUAUGAAGCAAGAAAUAAGAAUAACUGGAAAUCGAGGACGAGAUGGAAUGCAGGCCGCUAAGGGGUAAGCGUAGCACAGGUAACUUACAAGUUGCUGAAAAGCACCACAAACAAAUGAGGUCUGAGUUCAGUACGUUUAACAAACGUACUCUCAAGUAAUCCUCUAGCAUUUCUCUACUGACUGAACCACAGCCGAGGCUUGCUGCGGGAAUGCAGGAUUUUGCAUGUCAAGCUUGCGAUUAGG
rnacentral:lncRNA from 1 species